GGGAAACGUCAUUUGUCGGAUCAGAUCACAGGAGAGAGAGAGCGGAGGUCCUGUCGUGAACACAGCAGAGCUGACUGGGCUCGGAAGCAGAGGACCUGAGGGCGUCUGAUCAGGGGAGCUACAGAGUGAGGGACCUUCAGGGAAACACUAUCGUCACUGUGGGAGCCCACAUGAUUCCCUGGAAAACACAGACGGACGUUUGGAACAGUUCAGCGGAAGUCUGCAGGUGUCCCUUAAUGAAAGACAGUCUUGUACCAAAACAACUGAAAACCUGACGGAGAAUUAACGAGGACACCCUUUCUUGGAUAUUCUCUGUACGCGUUAACCACUAAACCAGACCGUCUCUUCAGUCUGCUUCCUGAAUAAUUAGUUUAUUGGCCUGUAUACUGUGCUGGGGGUUCACUGGAAUGUGUGUCUCUCUGUGUUCACUGGAAUGGUGAGAGGAGUGGGGUACCAGCCAGGUGGGAGCUGGAGGAGUGGGGUACCAGCCAGUUGAAGCCAAAGAACAUUCCUGUGUGACAGUGAACACACUCAACCGAGAUCUCUGUGGGAUCCUGAAGGAGAAAAAGUCAAGAGGGAGGACAGACAACCCGACAUCGGAGCUCUCUCCCAGUCAGACACCAGGAGCGCCGACGCCCACAUCCUCCCCCAUCAGCUCCAUCUCUCCGGUCGUGUCGUCUGGACGUCGGACUCCAGGAUCUCAGGGAAGGUUCCCUCCUCCCAGCCCGGCUCAGGCCUGAGGAGUCUGGAAGAUCUGGGAGAAGCCAACGGGGAGAAACUCCUCCUGGACCUCAACUCUGGGAGGAGCCCCAGUGCCUGGACCCCCCAAAGACUCAGGCUGACCAUGAGGACCCCAGUGGUGCCACAACAAUGAAGGGGAGCCCAGGGGUGUCAGAACCCCCCAAACAAGAGGCGACAGCAGGACCCCAGAGAGGACAGGGUGUCCCCAGGGAGGGCGAGACCACAGUCUACUCUGACCUCAGGACAUGUCUUGUGCAGGGGGCAGCACAGCUCAGACUGACCCAGUGUUCCCUGUAAUAGGAGAUUACUAGCUGUUCAAUGUGCUGCUUAU